GAAAUCUGAACUAUGUGGGCAGAGGAGCUGUACUGGAUAGCUUGUUGGAACAGUAUGGAGCAGGAAAGUAAAGUGAAGCACUUUCCGCCUGUAAUGUCUCCUUGUUUUCCUUGGCCCUGGCAUUCACCCAACUCCCUGGAAGACCUGGACUCUGUAUCAUAGACAACUUGUCUGCGGAAGACCCUACCGUCUGACAGCCUGACAUGGCAGGAAGAUACAGCACAUCACAAAUUCCAUGUCUUUCCCUGUUAGUCCAACAGGAAGCAGACCACAGCCUCGGACACUCAAAAUGAAGAAACAGAGAAAAUGGGCAAACUUGUUGCCUGAAGUGUGUGGAGGCAGAAGUAGCCAGACUGUGAAGCACACGGAUGCCACCGUAGUAGGUGCUGGAUAUUUUCAUACCCAUUUCCAUACCCACUAGUGGGCACAAAAGAUCCAUCCAAGGCAGUUCACCACUGCCAGUGAAGAAUAACUCAAGAGAGGCCGUAAGGGUGUGAUAGUUGGUGUCCAUCUUCCCUGGCGUUGCGCACAAGCACGGGGGCUGGCCAGACCUUUUGGGCACACGCACCUUGGUGCUUGUCAACGUGGGGUUUGACAGUGUGAAUGAAGUUGAAUAAAUCAGAUGAAGGUGAACGAAGGCGAGGGAACUGAGUGAGAUGCGCACAUACUGAAAUGCAACUUCUGCAGCUUAACUGGAGGCAGAUGGAUCUUGAUAAAGGAUUUUGCCCUGCCUGACGUAUCUGCAGUCCGAACGU